GCAGUCACUCACCCGCUUGACACUCCCUCUGGGCGGAUCGUUUCUCCAUCACCUCUCCAGUAAGCCUGUCACUCACGGCUCUGCGGACCUUCCAUCCUCUACGCGGCACCACGGUCCCGACUGUCUCUGUUUCAGCUCUCUCUCCCCUCUGCUCGGCGCUGCCGGAUCCCGUUCACCUCCUCAGUUUCGAGCGUCUCAACGAAGGGAUUUCAGUAUCCACCGACUCAGUUUCAACUUCAACUAUUGUUUCAGUAUCCACGGGAAACUGGGUUGAUCCGACUGUGCCAAGAACUGGCCAACACAGACUCAUCAUUACGUCCGGGUAUGGAGAUACAGGUGGAACUCUCUCUUGAAUUGGUUUAUUCUGUCUCUGAACCCGAAGUCCCGUUUGCGUGGACUUAUAUCUGGAUUACUCCUCUAUGAUAACUCUCCGUUGGAGUGUGGGUGGAAUACCAGUCAAGAUUACAAUUAUACACUAUACUUUUAGACAACAAUCACAUGGAAACAGAUUAUUUAUUGAACUGGAUCCAGGAACACCGUAUUCACCACUGCAAAGAUCUAGAUAAGAUGUGGCUGGCUUAUUACUGUAUCUCGUCCCUGCGCUGCGGGGUGCUGCUCUUGAGGAUAAAUUAACUUGACUGAGCCACAACUUCCCUCCACAGUUCAUCAAAAUAGGCCAGGCUGCGGCAACUGGCAGUCACUCACCCGCUUGACACUCCCUCUGGGCGGAUCGUCUCUCCAUCACCUCUCCAGUAAGCCUGUCACUCACGGCUCUGCGGACCUUCCGUUCUCUACGCGGCACCACGGUCCCGACUGUCUCUGUUUCAGCUCUCUCUCCCCUCUGCUCGGCGCUGCCGGAUCCCGUUCACCUCCUCAGUUUCGGUCCUGGUGGCUCCAUGGUCCUCCUCCAUCUACAGCCCACCCCUCCUGGUACUCACACAUGCUGUGUCUGUUGUACAGUCUUCCUACCCUUCCUCGGGUCCCAGUGGCUUCCUUUUCCAGCACAGUGUAUGUGAUGUCAUGCUGUCACCACUGCUGAAGUGAAGAAGAACCAUGAAGAGGUGCAGGCACUGUGCAUCUUGAAGACAAGCCAAGAAGGGGCUGGAGGGACAAGAGAGGUGAGGAAUCUGCUGUAGGGAUACAAGGAAUGAAGCUGCUGGAGAGACACAGGCAGUGAGCUGCUGGAGUGACAGAGAUGCACUACUGUGGUCAUUAUGUGUAAGGGACACUACUAUUGUGGACAUUAUGUGUAAGUGACACUACUACUAUGGGCAUUCUGUAUAUAAGUGGCACUACUACUGUGGGCAUUUUGUGUAUAAGUGGCACUGCUGUAGUAAUUAUGUGUAAGGGGCACUACUAUUGUGGGCAUUAUGUGUAAGUGACACUACUACUAUGGGCAUUCUGUAUAUAAGUGGCACUACUACUGUGGGCAUUUUGUGUAUAAGCGGCACUGCUGUAGUAAUUAUGUGUAAGGGGCACUACUAUUGUGGGCAUUAUGUGUAAGGGACACUACUACUAUGGGCAUUCUGUAUAUAAGUGGCACUACUACUCUGGCCAUUUUGUGUAUAAGUGGAACUUCUGUUGGCUUUAUGUGUAAUGUGCACUACUACUGUGGGAAUUGUGUAUAAGGGGCACUGGUGUCGGCAUUGUAUAUAAGGGGCACUACUGUGUGGCAUAAAGUGUGUAAAGGGUACCAUUGUGUAGUACAAUAAGAAUAAAAGCCACUAGUGAGUGACAUAACCAUCAGGGCCGGUUCUAGACCUUAUGGCGCCCAGGGCGAAAGUUUCCUUUGGUGCCCCCCCCCCCACCCGUGGCUUCACAGGGAAGGGGUGUGGUCACAGUUAUGACCCCUGUAGUUGUGCCCCCAGUAGUUGUGCACCCAGUAGAGUCACCCCCAGUAGUUAUGCCCCUGUAGCUGUGCCCCCCUCUAGAUUUGCCCCCAGUAGCUGUGCCCCCAGUAGAUUUGCACCCUGUAGUUGUGCCCCCAGUAGUUGUGCUCCCAGUAGCUGUGCCCCCAGUAGCUGUGCCUCUUAUAGUUGUGCCCCCUGUAUCUGUGCACCCUGUAGUUGUGCCCCCCAUAGCACCGCUUAUAAAUACAAAAAAACAAACAAACAAACAAUACUUACCAGCCCCGAUCCUGCUGUGCUGUGCUGCCCUCCAUCUCUGGCCGCCCGCUCCUCUCUAUGGGAGAGAUGUCAUGACAUCUCUCCCAUAGCAGCACC